CCUACGGGGUGCAGCAGUGAGGAAUAUUGGUCAAUGGGCGGGAGCCUGAACCAGCCAAGCCGCGUGAGGGAAGAAGGUACAGCGUAUCGUAAACCUCUUUUGUCAGGGAACAAAGGCGGGGACUAGUCCCCGGAUGAGGGUACCUGAAGAAAAAGCAUCGGCUAACUCCGUGCCAGCAGCCGCGGUGAUACGGAGGAUGCGAGCGUUAUCCGGAUUUAUUGGGGUUAAAGGGUGCGCAGGCGGCCUGUUAAGUCAGCGGUAAAAGCCCGGGGCUCAACCCCGGCGAGCCGGUGAAACGGGCGGGCUGGAGGUGGAGAGAGGGACGGGGGAGGCGCGGGGUAGGGGUG
rnacentral:rRNA from 1 species